rnacentral:rRNA from 1 species
AGUCGACGGGAUCCAUCAAGCUUGCUUGGUGGUGAGAGUGGCGAACGGGUGAGUAAUGCGUGACCGACCUGCCCCAUGCUCCGGAAUAGCUCCUGGAAACGGGUGGUAAUGCCGGAUGUUCCACAUGAUCGCAUGUGAUUGUGGGAAAGAUUCUAUCGGCGUGGGAUGGGGUCGCGUCCUAUCAGCUUGUUGGUGAGGUAACGGCUCACCAAGGCUUCGACGGGUAGCCGGCCUGAGAGGGCGACCGGCCACAUUGGGACUGAGAUACGGCCCAGACUCCUACGGGAGGCAGCAGUGGGGAAUAUUGCACAAUGGGCGCAAGCCUGAUGCAGCGACGCCGCGUGAGGGAUGGAGGCCUUCGGGUUGUAAACCUCUUUUGUUUGGGAGCAAGCCUUCGGGUGAGUGUACCUUUCGAAUAAGCGCCGGCUAACUACGUGCCAGCAGCCGCGGUAAUACGUAGGGCGCAAGCGUUAUCCGGAUUUAUUGGGCGUAAAGGGCUCGUAGGCGGCUCGUCGCGUCCGGUGUGAAAGUCCAUCGCUUAACGGUGGAUCUGCGCCGGGUACGGGCGGGCUGGAUUGCGGUAGGGGAGACUGGAAUUCCCGGUGUAACGGUGGAAUGUGUAGAUAU